CAUGGAGAUGCGUGGCUCUUCAGGGGAACAGCAAGGAACCGGAAUCUGCAUUUCCUGGAAUGCCCCGGAACCUCGCUUUGCUGGCUGGUAAUUGUCUGCCCAGCAGGUGGCAGCAGAGCUGCGUUGCUCCUGAGCACUUUAAGGACAGCACGGAGAUGCGCGGCUCUUCACGGCAGCAGCAGAAACUGAAAUCUGCAUUUCCUGGAAUGCCCUGGAACCUCGCUUUGCUGGCUGGUAAUUGUCUGCCCAGCAGGUGAAGAUGCCUUUGAUGCUUCCAGUUGAUGGCUUCCCCCCUGCAAUGCCAUCAUCUUUCCAGUCCUCCCACACUCACCGCCAGCUCGGUUCAGUCCAGCUUUUACCUGAAUCCCUGCUCUGUUCCCUUUCCUGAGCGCUGUAAGGACAGCAUGGAGAUGCAUGGCUCUUCAUGGCAGCAGCAAGGAACUGGAAUCUGCAUUUCCUGGAACGCCCCAGAACCCCACUGUGCUGCCUGGUAAUUGUCUGCCCAGCAGGUGAAGAUGCCUUCGAUGCUUCCAGUCGAUGACUUCCCCCCUGUGAUGCCAUUGGUUUUCCUGGCCUCCCACAGUCACCGCCAGCUCAGUUCAGUUGAGCUGUUACCCAA